rnacentral:rRNA from 1 species
GUGCCAGCCGCCGCGGUAAUACCGGCAGCCCGAGUGAUGGCCGAUCUUAUUGGGCCUAAAGCGUCCGUAGCUGGCCGACCAAGUCUCCCGGGAAAUCCACCCGCUCAACGGGUGGGCGUCCGGUAGAAACUGGCCGGCUUGGAACCGGAAGGCUCAGAGAGUACGUCCGGGGUAGGAGUGAAAUCCCGUAAUCCCGGACGGACCACCAAUGGGGAAACCACCUCAGGAGAACGGACCCGACGGUGAGGGACGAAAGCUAGGGUCUCGAACCGGAUUAGAUACCCUAGUAGUCC